GAAAUGCGAUAAUUAAUGUGAAUUGCAGAAUUCAGUGAAUCAUCGAGUCUUUGAACGCACAUUGCGCCCCCUGGUAUUCCGGGGGGCAUGCCUGUGCGAGCGUCAUUGCUGCCCUCAAGCACGGCUUGUGUGUUGGGCUUCCGUCCCUGGCAACGGGGACGGGCCCAAAAGGCAGUGGCGGCACCAUGUCUGGUCCUCGAGCGUAUGGGGCUUUGUCACCCGCUCCCGUAGGUCCAGCUGGCAGCUAGCCUCGCAACCAAUCUUUUUAACCAGGUUGACCUCGGAUCAGGUAGGGAUACCCGCUGAACUUAAGC
rnacentral:misc_RNA from 1 species